CCUCGAUCCCUUCGCAGCUCUUCUCCCUCCGGGGCUUUAAAGCUCCUGUGAUUGCUCCAGAUUCCUAAGUGCACAUCCUGUUAUUCUUCAUUAAACUUCUCUGCAGUAGCUGAAGAACAGAGAAGUUAAGUGGAUAUAACACUUGUCUGGGGUUAUGAAGCAAGAGAAAAGAGAAUUACACUCCUCCUCCUUGUGUGCCUUGCCUGGUGCUGUGUUAAUCCCUGAACAGUGAUCUCCAGCCCAGCUAUGACUCAGCAUUCAGACUGAGAUCAUGACUGAAUGUUAAAGCAGGAAAAUCAAGACUGACCUUUGCUGACCACCCGCCAGAGCCACCUGAAUUAUGCACUAAAUAAAUGACCAUAGAGAAGUCAUUUACAUUGGAGACAUCAUGGAUUUGUAUAUUGACCAAGACAACUUUUUUGAGGGUAUUGGCAACAUGUUUUGGUCUAAUAAAAUUAGAUAUUAUGACAAUUUUCUGACCGAUGAAAGUCAAGGUUCUUGAGCCAGGGGAAUCUUUAUCCGACUCAAGAACACUCUGAAUCUUGUAUUGGAAACUCCAACCAGCCAUUGGUAUUAAGUUCUACUGGCCACAUGAGUCAACAAGUAGACUUUUAUUUCCUUCCCCCUUCCUAUGAACAUUCUCGUUGAGAUGUAAUUUUUGUUUUCUUGGCU